rnacentral:piRNA from 1 species
UGAAUCCAAGUGUCUGGGACUGUUGA